rnacentral:rRNA from 1 species
AUUGAACGCUGGCGGCAGGCCUAACACAUGCAAGUCGAGCGCGAAAGGCCUUCGGGCUGAGUAGAGCGGCGGACGGGUGAGUAACGCGUAGGAAUCUACCUGGUAGUGGGGGACAACAUGGUGAAAACCAUGCUAAUACCGCAUACGCCUUAUGGGGGAAAGCGGGGGACCUUUGGGCCUCGCGCUAUCAGAUGAGCCUGCGUAGGAUUAGCUUGUCGGUGAGGUAAAGGCUCACCAAGGCGACGAUCCUUAGCUGGUCUGAGAGGAUGAUCAGCCACACUGGAACUGAGACACGGUCCAGACUCCUACGGGAGGCAGCAGUGGGGAAUAUUGCGCAAUGGCGAAAGCCUGACGCAGCCAUGCCGCGUGUGUGAAGAAGGCCUUCGGGUUGUAAAGCACUUUCAAUUGGGAAGAAAGGUUGCGUGUUAAUAGCACGUAGCUGUGACGUUACCUUUAGAAGAAGCACCGGCUAACUCCGUGCCAGCCGCCGCGGUAAAAC